UCGGGAGCAGAUUCAAUUUCGCUUUCGUGAGAUAUCGCAUGCAUCUAACAGACAAAUACCUAUCAACAUACUUACCGAUUAAAAUCGAUAAGUAAUAAAGCUUGGCAAAGUAUAGCGACGGUCUCCCGUAAUGGCGCCUGCAGAUAUGUUAACAAACUCAAUACGUCAGCGACCUUUCUGGUAUCGGGAUCGUUACGCAGAGCUCUAAAUAAACACGGAACACAAGCGACUGGACUCACCGAUUGUCACCAAGGAACGCUUACGAUAUCCCAUUACAGCAUUUUGAGCAAAGUGACUAUAGUCACUUUGGUUUUGAGCAACUUCGUGAUUUCUUGGUUGGACAUAUGAUUGAGCCGUUUUAUCGGAGAGUACUGUACUGAUACCGUUUGACCGUACACCAUGUGGAAGAAUGUGUCUGUGAAUCUGUCAGAUGUUGUUGAAGUUCGUGGAUCAGCUCUCACUGAAAAGGAGAUCUGGAUUUUACUACAUGAAAUAGGAAAACAACUCAAAAAUUUUAUCAUUGAAGAAGACGUUAACAUAACACCAAACAACAUUCUUAUUCAUCCAUCAGCUGGAGUUUUCAUGGAUUUUUCAAACAAAUCAUUUUCAGAAAUAAAUUGAAUUAUCCAUUUAAGAAUGCUGAUGAUUUUAAUAAUAGCAAAUUGCCUAAUCGGUUUCAACAAUAUCCAGGUGUACAGAAAUCAAAUAAAAAAAAUUAAUGUUUUGUUGAUUGUUGACAUCUAUUUGUAACUGCUUAAUUUUUUUUGGUACGAUGAUUUUAAAUAUAAUUUAAAUUUUUUUGGUAGCCUAUAGUGUAUAAUAUUAUGUUUCUCUACUAAUUUCAUCAUUGUCGGUCCCUAAAUGCAGUGCAUAAAAUCUGCCCUCUAUUGUACUUUGUUCAAAUCCUGUUCAACUUUUAGGAUAACAUUUGCACUUUCAAUUUCAAAAUUUAAAUUUUUAUUGGCUCGGCGGUGUGGCGCAUCGUGCUAAGCGUUAGGAAUACGCUCGCCACCGCAUCUCAGAUUACCCUUCGUGGGUUCGCAGGU